rnacentral:rRNA from 1 species
UUAGAUGUCCGGGGCCGCACGCGCGCUACACUGAAGGAAUCAGCGUGUGCUCUCCCUGUCCGCCAGGACUGGGUAACCCGUUGAACCUCCUUCGUGAUAGGGAUAGGGGCUUGUAAUUGUUCCCCUUGAACGAGGAAUUCCCAGUAAGCGCGAGUCAUAAGCUCGUGUUGAUUACGUCCCUGCCCUUUGUACACACCGCCCGUCGCUACUACUGAUUGAAUGAUUUAGUGAGGUCUUCGGACUGGCGCUCGGAACGACCUUCGCGGGUCGGGUCGACGUGCCGGAAAGAUGACCGAACUUGGUCAUUUAGAAGAAGUAAAAGUCGUAACAAGGUUUCC